rnacentral:rRNA from 1 species
UACGAAGGGGGCUAGCGUUGCUCGGAAUCACUGGGCGUAAAGCGCACGUAGGCGGCUUGUUAAGUCAGAGGUGAAAUCCUGGAGCUCAACUCCAGAACUGCCUUUGAUACUGGCAAGCUUGGAGUCCGGGAGAGGUGAGUGGAACUGCGAGUGUAGAGGUGAAAUUCGUAGAUAUUCGCAAGAACACCAGUGGCGAAGGCGGCUCACUGGCCCGGUACUGACGCUGAGGUGCGAAAGCGUGGGGAGCAAACAGG